rnacentral:tRNA from 1 species
GCGAAGAUGGCGAAAUUGGUAGACGCACUAGCUUCAGGGGUUAGCGUCCGAAAAGACGUGAGGGUUCAAGUCCCUCUCUUCGUACCA